rnacentral:rRNA from 1 species
UACGUAGGUGGCGAGCGUUGUCCGGAUUUACUGGGCGUAAAGCGCACGUAGGCGGCUUUGUAAGUUAGAGGUGAAAGCCCGGGGCUCAACUCCGGAAUUGCCUUUAAGACUGCAUCGCUAGAAUUGUGGAGAGGUAAGUGGAAUUCCGAGUGUAGAGGUGAAAUUCGUAGAUAUUCGGAAGAACACCAGUGGCGAAGGCGACUUACUGGACACAUAUUGACGCUGAGGUGCGAAAGCGUGGGGAGCAAACAGG